GUUAUAGUUUAUUUGAUAAUCAAAUUUACAUGGAUAACCGUGGUAAUUCUAGAGCUAAUACAUGCCGUUAAGCCUGACUUUUAGGAAGGGCUGUAUUUAUUAUAUAACAAACCAAUAUUCCUUGUGUCUAUUGUGACGAUUCAUAAUAACUGAUCGAAUCGCAUGGGCUUUGCCCGCGAUACAUCAUUCAAGUUUCUGCCCCAUCACCUUUCGAUGGUAGUGUAUUGGACUACCAUGGCUUUCACGGGUAACGGAGGAUUAGGGUUCGAUUCCGGAGAGGGAGCCUGAGAAACGGCUACCACAUCUAAGGAAGGCAGCAGGCGCGUAAAUUACCCAAUCCUGACUCAGGGAGGUAGUGACAAGAAAUAACGGACCGAAGCCUAUGUUUCGGGAUUGCAAUGAGUAGAAUUUAAACCCCUUUACGAGGAUCAAUUGGAGGGCAAGUCUGGUGCCAGCAGCCGCGGUAAUUCCAGCU
rnacentral:rRNA from 1 species